CCUUCUCCAAUGAGUCGGUGACAUGAUUCAACCAAAAACUUAAAAGUUUGGUAAUCAUUAAUACGAUAUUUCAUACAAUCACCCCUUUGACAAAAUUGGGAGUUUUCAUUAUGAUCAUUUAUUUAAAUGACACAUUCCUUUGUGAGAUAUACACUCCAUUUCUGAUUGUCUCUUUUUUCCACUUUACUUUCAACUCCUCGUGGUUCUCUAACCACAUAUUGCUUAGUACUAAAAGCACUAGCACAAAUUUCAGGUAAUGAUAUAGCACCCAUUUGGGUGUACCAGAUGAUUCUUCACAAGGAGGUCAUCAUUUUUUACCCCUGAAAUGAAGAUGGUGUUUCUUUUACCAUCGUAGGAGGAUGUAAAGUGCAGUAAGGACAUACAAUCAGAUCAAGAUCUGAGACUGCCUUAUCACGUAAUCUCAACUUAGUGUUGAUUUAUAGACAACAGAAUUAUAAGCAUCAACGGACUUCAAGUCUUGAACACAAAUGAAUAGUCAUUCGUGUGAUGCUUAUGACAAUAUAUCUCUCCCUAGGUAGUCCCGAAGGGCAAAUGGAUAUUCAUCAUCCAUUUAAAUACUCAGUUUGAGAACCG
rnacentral:lncRNA from 1 species